rnacentral:rRNA from 1 species
GAUGAACGCUGGCGGCGUGCCUAAUACAUGCAAGUCGAGCGAACGGACGAGAAGCUUGCUUCUCUGAUGUUAGCGGCGGACGGGUGAGUAACACGUGGAUAACCUACCUAUAAGACUGGGAUAACUUCGUGAAACCGGAGCUAAUACCGUAUGAUAUUUUGAACCGCAUGGUUCAAAAGUGAAAGACGGUCUUUCUGUCACUUAUAGAUGGAUCCGCGCUGCAUUAGCUAGUUGGUAAGGUAACGGCUUACCAAGGCAACGAUGCAUAGCCGACCUGAGAGGGUGAUCGGCCACACUGGAACUGAGACACGGUCCAGACUCCUACGGGAGGCAGCAGUAGGGAAUCUUCCGCAAUGGGCGAAAGCCUGACGGAGCAACGCCGCGUGAGUGAUGAAGGUCUUCGGAUCGUAAAACUCUGUUAUUAGGGAAGAACAUAUGUGUAAGUAACUGUGCACAUCUUGACGGUACCUAAUCAGAAAGCCACGGCUAACUACGUG